GACUUGUGUGCGCCGGAUGCGGCGAUCUGCGGCCAAAAGGUCGUUGCGAUCAGCCCAUCCUGGCGCCGUAAAAUUUGCAACUGGGUCGCCGCUGGCCUUAAUUGAUCGGUGGCGUCUGCUCGGUUGCUCGUUUACUGUGAGAAAAUUGGAGUGUUCAAGGCAGGCGUGGAUUGCAACUGAACAUGUUAGCAUGGAAUAAUAAGAUAGGGCUCCGGCUCAUAUUUUGUUGGUUUCUAGAGCGUGGGAGUAAUGAUUGAUAGGGACAGUUGGGGGUGCUAGUAUUCAGUGGCCAGAGGUGAAAUUCUUGGAUUCACUGAAGACUAACUACUGCGAAAGCAUU
rnacentral:rRNA from 1 species